CCUACGGGAGGCAGCCGUGGGGAAUAUUGCACAAUGGGGGAAACCCUGAUGCAGCGACGCCGCGUGAGUGAAGACGUAUCUCGGUACGUAAAGCUCUCUCAGCAGGGAAGACAAUGACGGUACCUGACUAAGAAGCCCCGGCUAACUACGUGCCAGCAGCCGCGGUAAUACGUAGGGGGCAAGCGUUAUCCGGCUUUACUGGGUGUAAAGGGAGCGUAGACGGCAGCACAAGUCUGGAGUGAAAUCCCGGGGCUGAACCCCGGAACUGCUUUGGAAACUGUACGGCUGGAGUGCAGGAGGGGUAAGCGGAAUUCCUAGUGUAGCGGUGAAAUGCGUAGAUAUUAGGAGGAACACCAGUGGCGAAGGCGGCUUACUGGACUGUAACUGACGUUGAGGCUCGAAAGCGUGGGGAGCAAACAGGAUUAGAUACCCGGGUAGUC
rnacentral:rRNA from 1 species